ACUUACCGCCACUUUUUCAUCUGUCAUGAAAUAACGCUGCGACAGUAAAGACAGUGUUUCACAACCGGAUAGCUGGACUUUUGAUUUAAUCGACGUGAUUUUUCUUCAAGGUUUGUAAAGCCGCCUUGCACUUGGAAAGCAGUACUAUGAAGAUUGACUUGGAAACCAGGAGUUGCAGCGCUGCAAUCCACUGUCGUGAUGUGUGCCGUUCAUAUGGGAAACUGAAAGUCCUCAACAAUCUCAAUCUGACAUUGCCUCAGGGCCAAAUUUAUGGGCUGCUGGGACCAAGUGGCUGUGGGAAGACUACGUUGUUGAAAUGCAUUGUGGGAACUCUAAAGAUCUCACAUGGUCAUAUCUCAGUGCUCAGGAAACCCCCCGCUUUCCCAGGACAUGUAGUGCCAGGAAGGAUGGUGGGAUUCAUGC